GGAGGAAAAGAAACUAACAAGGAUUCCCCUAGUAACGGCGAGUGAAGCGGGAAGAGCUCAAAUUUGUAAUCUGGCGCCUUCGGCGUCCGAGUUGUAAUCUCGAGAAGUGUUUUCCGCGCUAGACCGCAUACAAGUCUGUUGGAAUACAGCGUCAUGGUGGGUGAGAACCCCGUAACUGAUGCGGAUGCCUAGUGCUCUGUGAUACACUUUCGAAGAGUCGAGUUGUUUGGGAAUGCAGCUCAAAGUGGGUGGUAAAUUCCAUCUAAAGCUAAAUAUUGGCGAGAGACCGAUAGCGAACAAGUACCGUGAGGGAAAGAUGAAAAGCACUUUGGAAAGAGAGUUAACAGUACGUGAAAUUGUUGGAAGGGAAACGCUUGAAGUCAGACUUGCUAUUUGGAGUUCAGCCUAGGUGUACUCUCCAGUUGGCAGGCCAGCAUCAGUUUUCGGGGGUGGAAAAGGGUUGGGAGAAGGUAGCAGUCUCGGCUGUAUUAUAGCUUCCUGCUGGAUUCACCCUUGGGGAUUGAGGAACGCAGCGCGCUUUUUGCAAGGUCUUCGGGCUUUUCGCGCUUAGGAUGCUGGUGGAAUGGCUUUAAACGACCCG
rnacentral:rRNA from 1 species